GAUGAACGCUGGCGGCGUGCCUAAUACAUGCAAGUCGAGCGAACGGACGAGAAGCUUGCUUCUCUGAUGUUAGCGGCGGACGGGUGAGUAACACGUGGAUAACCUACCUAUAAGACUGGGAUAACUUCGGGAAACCGGAGCUAAUACCGGAUAAUAUUUUGAACCGCAUGGUUCAAAAGUGAAAGACGGUCUUUCUGUCACUGAUAGAUGGAUCCGCGCUGCAUUAGCUAGUUGGUAAGGUAACGGCUUACCAAGGCAACGAUGCAUAGCCGACCUGAGAGGGUGAUCGGCCACACUGGAACUGAGACACGGUCCAGACUCCUACGGGAGGCAGCAGUAGGGAAUCUUCCGCAAUGGGCGAAAGCCUGACGGAGCAACGCCGCGUGAGUGAUGAAGGUCUUCGGAUCGUAAAACUCUGUUAUUAGGGAAGAACAUAUGUGUAAGUAACUGUGCACAUCUUGACGGUACCUAAUCAGAAAGCCACGGCUAACUACGUG
rnacentral:rRNA from 1 species